UCCAAGCAAAACACAUACCUCUUCAGUAGUUGAAAAUAAAAAAAUAUUUUUCUUAAAAAUUAGUAAAUAAAAACGAAUAUUAAAUCACUUUAGUAUAAUUUCAAACAUUCAGUUGAAAAGAAAUGAAAUUCAUUUGGAAUGUGCUGCUAAAAAGUUUUUUUUUUUUUUUUGGUUCUUGCCAGGAAACAGGACUAUUUAUGGCAUCCUUGCGAGUAAGUAAAAUCAUUAUAGCCACAUCGAUAUCCUGGUAGCGGAAAAAAUUCGCCUCCUUGGGAUAGUGUUUGGCCAUAAAGUCAACAACCUGAUCCACCGACCAAGUGGAAACGUGUUGAUUUUUACGUUCGAUUCAGCUACAGGAGAAACAGAAGUAGUGUGUGCAGAUAGGUGGCAAUUCACUAGGCGAUGAACAGGAAGGUGGCGGAGUAAGUUAAGGAGGUAUGCAUAUGGGAGCAUCGUCGGCGGCGGCGGCGGCGUUGACGGGUGGUUCCUCCUGUUCGUCCUCCGCCUGCUGCUGCUCUUCACUCAUUGCAUCGGAAAUAUGACUCGGGAUGCACUCUUCGCUUUUGGCCCAUUGCUGUUCUUGCUAGUAUUCGGCCAUGGCUGCCGAGGGAGCUUCACGACUUCCACUUCCGCCGCCUGGACCACGGCCUGGGACAGUAAUUGCAGUUCCUAAUCCUUGUCCAGUAAUAGAUCCAACUCUAUUACCAUUUGUCGGCUCUAAGAGUGAAGUUCGUUAAAUGUAUAAAUUACACCACUUCGAUGUCCUCGCAAGGCGAAUAUAAGAAUACUAUAAUGGAUGAGGCUAUCUCAAAUACCAUUUGUCGGUCUUAAGACUAAACUUGGAUUCAAGACGAAGAACAGAUAUUGGUGUCCUUGUUGAACUUGUAUUUUCCUUAUUAUUUCAAUACCAAAAUCUAUCUCAAUUACCAUUUGCCGGUCUUAAGACUAAUGUUCGAUUCAGAAUGAAGAAUAGGUAUUGGUGUCCUUGUUGAACUUGUAUUUUCCUUAUUAUUUCAAUACCAUUAUCUAUCUCAAUUACCAUUUGCCGGUCUUAAGACUGAAGUUUCGAUUCAGAAUGAAGAACAGAUAUUGGUGUCCUUGUUGAACUUGUAUUUUCCUUAUUAUUUCAAUACCAUUAUCUAUCUCAAUUACCAUGUGUCGGUCAAAAAAAAUUAAUACAACCUUCAGUAACGCAAAAAACAAUAAAUGCAAAAUUUAGCAACGUAAAAUUUCAUCCAAUUGAGGACGCCAAGACUAAACUUGGAUUCAAGACGAAGAACAGAUAUUGGUGUCUUUGUUGAACUUGUAUUUUCCUUAUUAUUUCAAUACCAUUAUCUAUCUCAAUUACCAUUUGCCGGUCUUAAGACUGAAGUUUCGAUUCAGAAUGAAGAACAGAUAUUGGUGUCCUUGUUGAACUUGUAUUUUCCUUAUUAUUUCAAUACCAUUAUCUAUCUCAAUUACCAUGUGUCGGUCAAAAAAAAUUAAUACAACCUUCAGUAACGCAAAAAAUACAACCUUCAGUAACGCAAAAAACAAUAAAUGCAAAAUUUAGCAACGUAAAAUUUCAUCCAAUUGAGGACCCCAAGACUAAACUUGGAUUCAAGACGAAGAACAGAUAUUGGUGUCUUUGUUGAACUUGUAUUUUCCUUAUUAUUUCAAUACCAAAAUCUAUCUCAAUUACCAUUUGCCGGUCUUAAGACUGAAGUUUCGAUUCAGAAUGAAGAAUAGGUAUUGGUGUCUUUGUUGAACUUGUAUUUUCCUUAUUAUUUCAAUACCAUUAUCUAUCUCAAUUACCAUUUGCCGGUCUUAAGACUGAAGUUUCGAUUCAGAAUGAAGAACAGAUAUUAGUGUCCUUGUUGAACUUGUAUUUUCCUUAUUAUUUCAAUACCAUUAUCUAUCUCAAUUACCAUGUGUCGGUCAAAAAAAAUUAAUACAACCUUCAGUAACGCAAAAAACAAUAAAUGCAAAAUUUAGCAACGUAAAAUUUCAUCCAAUUGAGGACCCCAAGACUAAACUUGGAUUCAAGACGAAGAACAGAUAUUGGUGUCUUUGUUGAACUUGUAUUUUCCUUAUUAUUUCAAUACCAUUAUCUAUCUCAAUUACCAUGUGUCGGUCAAAAAAAAUUAAUACAACCUUCAGUAACGCAAAAAAUACAACCUUCAGUAACGCAAAAAACAAUAAAUGCAAAAUUUAGCAACGUAAAAUUUCAUCCAAUUGAGGACCCCAAGACUAAACUUGGAUUCAAGACGAAGAACAGAUAUUGGUGUCUUUGUUGAACUUGUAUUUUCCUUAUUAUUUCAAUACCAAAAUCUAUCUCAAUUACCAUUUGCCGGUCUUAAGACUGAAGUUUCGAUUCAGAAUGAAGAAUAGGUAUUGGUGUCUUUGUUGAACUUGUAUUUUCCUUAUUAUUUCAAUACCAUUAUCUAUCUCAAUUACCAUUUGCCGGUCUUAAGACUGAAGUUUCGAUUCAGAAUGAAGAACAGAUAUUGGUGUCUUUGUUGAACUUGUAUUUUCCUUAUUAUUUCAAUACCAUAAUCUAUCUCAAUCACCAUUUGCCGGUCUUAAGACUAAUGUUUCGAUUCAGAAUGAAGAAUAGGUAUUGGUGUCCUUGUUGAACUUGUAUUUUCCUUAUUAUUUCAAUACCAAAAUCUAUCUCAAUUACCAUUUGCCGGUCUUAAGACUGAAGUUUCGAUUCAGAAUGAAGAAUAGGUAUUGGUGUCUUUGUUGAACUUGUAUUUUCCUUAUUAUUUCAAUACCAUUAUCUAUCUCAAUUACCAUGUGUCGGUCUUAAGACUAAUGUUUCGAUUCAGAAUGAAGAACAGAUAUUGGUGUCUUUGUUGAACUUGUAUUUUCCUUAUUUCAAUACCAUUAACUAUCUCAAUUACCAUGUGUCGGUCAAAAAAAAUUAAUACAACCUUCAAUAACGCAAAAAACAAUAAAUGCAAAAUUUAGCAACGUAAAAUUUCAUCCAAUUGAGGACCCCAAGACUAAACUUGGAUUCAAGACGAAGAACAGAUAUUGGUGUCUUUGUUGAACUUGUAUUUUCCUUAUUAUUUCAAUACCAAAAUCUAUCUCAAUUACCUUUUGCCGGUCUUAAGACUAAAGUUUCGAUUCAGAAUGAAGAAUAGGUAUUGGUGUCCUUGUUGAACUUGUAUUUUCCUUAUUAUUUCAAUACCAUUAUCUAUCUCAAUUACCAUUUGCCGGUCUUAAGACUGAAGUUUCGAUUCAGAAUGAAGAACAGAUAUUGGUGUCUUUGUUGAACUUGUAUUUUCCUUAUUAUUUCAAUACCAUAAUCUAUCUCAAUCACCAUUUGCCGGUCUUAAGACUAAUGUUUCGAUUCAGAAUGAAGAAUAGGUAUUGGUGUCCUUGUUGAACUUGUAUUUUCCUUAUUAUUUCAAUACCAAAAUCUAUCUCAAUUACCAUUUGCCGGUCUUAAGACUGAAGUUUCGAUUCAGAAUGAAGAAUAGGUAUUGGUGUCUUUGUUGAACUUGUAUUUUCCUUAUUAUUUCAAUACCAUUAUCUAUCUCAAUUACCAUGUGUCGGUCUUAAGACUAAUGUUUCGAUUCAGAAUGAAGAACAGAUAUUGGUGUCUUUGUUGAACUUGUAUUUUCCUUAUUUCAAUACCAUUAACUAUCUCAAUUACCAUGUGUCGGUCAAAAAAAAUUAAUACAACCUUCAAUAACGCAAAAAACAAUAAAUGCAAAAUUUAGCAACGUAAAAUUUCAUCCAAUUGAGGACCCCAAGACUAAACUUGGAUUCAAGACGAAGAACAGAUAUUGGUGUCUUUGUUGAACUUGUAUUUUCCUUAUUAUUUCAAUACCAAAAUCUAUCUCAAUUACCUUUUGCCGGUCUUAAGACUAAAGUUUCGAUUCAGAAUGAAGAAUAGGUAUUGGUGUCCUUGUUGAACUUGUAUUUUCCUUAUUAUUUCAAUACCAUUAUCUAUCUCAAUUACCAUUUGCCGGUCUUAAGACUAAUGUUUCGAUUCAGAAUGAAGAAUAGGUAUUGGUGUCCUUGUUGAACUUGUAUUUUCCUUAUUAUUUCAAUACCAUAAUCUAUCUCAAUCACCAUUUGCCGGUCUUAAGACUAAAGUUUCGAUUCAGAAUGAAGAAUAGGUAUUGGUGUCCUUGUUGAACUUGUAUUUUCCUUAUUAUUUCAAUACCAUUAUCUAUCUCAAUUACCAUUUGCCGGUCUUAAGACUAAUGUUUCGAUUCAGAAUGAAGAAUAGGUAUUGGUGUCCUUGUUGAAC